rnacentral:rRNA from 1 species
CCUACGGGUGACAGCAGUAGGGAAUAUUGCUCAAUGGGGGAAACCCUGAAGCAGCAACGCCGCGUGGAGGAUGAAGGUUUUCGGAUUGUAAACUCCUUUUGUUAGAGAAGAUAAUGACGGUAUGUAACGGAUAAGCAACGGACAACACCGUGCCAGCAGCCGCGGUCAUACGGAGGGUGCAAACCUUACUCGGAAUCACUGGGCGUAAAGUGAGCGUAGGCGGGAUAGCUAGGUAGAUGGGAAAUCCUAUGGCUUAACCAUUGACCUGCAUUGGAAACUGGUAUUCUAGAGUAUGGGAGAGGUAGGUGGAAUUCUAUGUGUAGCGGUAAAAUCCGUAGAGAUCUAGAAGAAUACUCAAUGCGAAGGCGACCUGCUAGAACAUAACUGACGCUGAUGCGCGAAAGCGUGGGGAGCAAACAGGAUUAGAUACCCCAGUAGUC